AUAAGACCUGUGAACCUGUGUACAUUUAGCUUUUGGGUUUUCCUUAUUUGGAUGAGUCUUACUGGAACAGAUGUACAAAUGUUAUAAUACAGGUCUUUCAACUCAUUUUUCUUGCAGAGCAUGCAAAUGUCUUGAAAGAUUUUUUUUUAAUAGCACUGUGCAUAAACUUUCAUUUGGUUCAUUUUGGGAAAAAAUAUGGCUGACCUAAAUAGAAAAGCUAUCUUUGAUCUUGCAGAGAUUGAACUGUUAGCAAAAAUUAAUAACUGAAAAAUGAACACGUGUGGCAUCCCUCCAGAGAACAAAAUAGAUCUUUGAAUCAAAGAAUCUCAGUGCAGAAGAAGCCAACUUCUCACAAAGCUUAUGAUUUUAAGCAAAAUGCUCAGAAUUUUAAAAUGGAUAUAUGCCAAGAAUAUAUAAUGGAGCUGAAUGAACAGGUAUCACUAAUAUUUUUAUGAAUGUCGUCUCUCUAUUGUGCGUUGUGCUAUUCCUCGUUCUGCGUUGUAAUUAAAGUUGAAGUGGGUCAUUCUUUUUUUUUUUUCAGGUGCUACCUGUGAACAGUUUCACACUACUGAAAGGCCUGAAACUAAGAGGCAUUUGUCCUUGAAACCAGUCAUGAAUGGAAGGUGAUGUUGAGAAGUCGUUAUCCAUCACUCUGGAAGAGUUGGUGAUGGGCAGACUGCCUGGCUUCUGGCAUGGCAUUUGGGUACAGGGGAUGGAAAAACAGAAGCUUAUCCAGAAAUCCUGAAAUACAUGGUCUGAUUUUUCCAGAACUGGAACAAGAGAAGCACCUCACCAAAAGAGAGCAAAUGCUGUCAUUUGACCUUUUCAGCCUUUGGAUUCUCAGUGCAUCUGACUCGACCAGGCAGGUCUGGGGAAGAGAAAAAUUAACAGCAGAUGGAUUUAUGAAAAGAGCUCAGUGGCAGAUGGUGCCUACAGAUAUUUACUGACAUGGCCUCGGUCUUACAGGGGGCCUGUGUUGGAGGACAUGUUGCUGUGACAGUGGUGUCUGUAGAUGAUAUGUUGAAGGAGUGCAGAGUCAUGGUCUUACUACUGAAGUAGUAAAAUCCACUGAAGUCAUCCCAUUCCCUUCUCCUUCAGUAGUAGACACCUCCUCAUGUCAUGGAACAGAGCCACGAUACUUGGUAGUUGACUACUUGAUGUUUAUUAAAACUUCCUUCUCCCAAGACAGUGAUUUUUUUUUCCUAUGUAAUUUUAGAAGAAUGCUUGAAAAAGGUGACUUAGAUGAACCCUACAGGCUCAUUAAACAGUGGCAACUGAUAAAUCUUUUCUUUGAUAGUCUCUUGAAUUUUUAAGUCUUGGAGUUGGUAAUGCCCAUACUAUAGAUGUACGGAAAUGAAUAUUUCAGAAGUGGGCCAUACCUUUUAAGUGGGGUGAUUUGAAUAAAUGAUUUCACUUUUCUUCUGCCUUUUAAUUA
rnacentral:lncRNA from 1 species